CCCCGGGCGAGAAGCACAGAGCACCUCCCUGAGGAUCAAGGAACUGCACACACGACGGCUAAAAGCUGACACUUUUUCGGCUAAAAAGUAGAGAACCCAACAGAUUUUGAGGGCGACAGCAGCUUCAGGAUGCAACUGGAAAUAACAAUGGUGCUGCUCCUGGUCGCGGGGAUGGCCAGGUGAGGA
rnacentral:lncRNA from 1 species